rnacentral:lncRNA from 1 species
GCAAAAACUGACUUUCAGAUUUAUAAUUUCACAAUAGCGAUAAUAAUAAUUUGAAUAUGGUUAAAUAAAGAGAAAAAAACAACAACAAAAAAGAAUAAAAUAAUAUUAAAAUGAUAAAAUUAAUUAGUUGUUUGUUUUGGUUACCAUUGAUGAUAACGCAACAAGAUAUUAAAGCCAGUAGUUAAUAAAAGUAAACAUAAUAUGAUUUAUAUAAUGCUUAUUCAUGGAGGCAUUAUAAAGGCCACUAUAACGCAUUUCUCAAUAUUCAUUCAUAUAUAUAGGGCCUCAUGUAUUUCUUAUGCAUCACCUCCUUUUAAUUUUAAUUAAGUUGUUUACAAUUAAGUUUAGAAAUUAUAACAUGUCGAAGAGUCUCAAUUUCAUUAUCUUGGCUUUGCUUUUGGUUGCAAGCACUGAAAACUCACAUGUUUCAAGCACUAGUAUCGGCCAAGAAUCUAAUUCUGCAAUAUCACCUGAUAGCGACAAGUGCUUUGGACUUACACCAGAAGAAUGUUACAAUAAGUAUCACCAUGAUAGUCAAGACUACACCAUCAUCUAUAACCCAUGAUUUUGUUAAAUGCUAUAUUUUAAUAAAAGAAGGAAUUAAUCCAUUAUGAGCAUGUGAUAUAUUGUGUUUGUUACAUGGUAUUGAUUUGUUGUAUGUAAUUUAUCUAUAUCUGUUAACUUUUCUUACCAUUUGACCCCUAUAAUUUUUCUUCCCAACCCCUUGAACAAAUAUUUACAGAGGAGUAGCUCAACAUGUUUGAAGAUUUUAAUUUCAAGGAGGUAUGUGUGAUCCAUUUGAUCUCUAGUUUACAACACAAAAAGUAUUAAUUUUUCAUAGCCUUGCAACACAGAAAGUACAAUUGUUUAAUUAUAAUCUUUCGGAUGCUACUUUCAUGCCCUUUUUUUUUUCUUUCCAACUAGCAAGCAAGAGCCUGCUCAAAGCAAUGUGAUGUAAGUGAUAACCAUUUUUGCUUAAUUGAUUUAUUUGUUUGAUUUAUAAUGUUUAUUUCUUGUGAUUUAUUUCUUGUGAUCUUUUGAAUGGUGAAAUCUUUUGAUGCGAGUUGUUGGCUCAUCUAGUUUUGUUGUCGAUCAUUAUUUGUUUAUUGGCAAAAUUGAUUACCUAAC